UGUGCACAUGUGUGUUUUCCUACUAUAGGUGUUUAAGGACCCAUUUCGGUACUUCUCUAAGCAGGAGCUGAAGGAGCUUUUCACACUGGAGGACACGUACUCGUCCUCCAUUCGGCUGCAGCUGCAGUCGCUCCACUCGUCUGCGUGCCGCUCCGACCCUGAGCUGCAGUGCCACAUCUCCUCUCUGAAGGGCAUGAAUGUGUUUGGCGUGUCCCGUCAUGACUUGCUGUUCUCUAAUGAGGAUACUCUGCAGGACGAGGACAAAUAUGGUCACAAUUUGGCCCAUAUCUGUUCAGCGGUGCUAUAUCUAGGCCAUAUGUGACGGAUAAUACCCACAUGUGGCCCAAACGUACUUGCUAUUUGGGAUGUCUGGUUGGGGUGUGAAAAUUUUAGAUGCUGGAUUGACAGUUAUAUUAUUAAAUAACAAUAUGAACAGCAAGAUUAUUAAUUGGAGUAGCAUAAGUAAUGAAAAUAGCAAAUGUUAAUAUUCAUAAAUACAGGUAAUGGGAUUUAGUGUUAAUAGUGCAAGAGUAAGUGUAAAUAUGAAUCUGAAACAGAUGUGGCUGUUCAUCUCAGUGCUUGAAUUGAAGAAAAAGUCAAAAAAAUUUAGCCAUGUUGUAUAACAUACAUAAAGGGCAAGCAGGCGGAGCUUGUGUCCCCAAACAUGAUCAGUGCUUGCUUUGAUGUACAAAACUCCUCAUAUGGCAUAGAGCACGCACCAUACAGCAUUCCUCAAAUCUAGGCCUAAUUCUAAACCACUUUAGCUGGAAGACCCACCCACACACUGUGUGUGUCAGUGACUGUGUCUGUAUGGUUGGAUGAUGAGCAGGUGUGUGUGUGUGUGUGUCAGUGACUCGGGUGUCUGUACAGUAAGCUGAUGAGCAGUUGUAUCUCACUGUCUCCAGUGUUAAUGUCAGUGGCCUUCAGAAAAAAGUCCAGUGCUUCCUGUUUCAUCCCUUUAGACAAACACGUUCCCAGAAUGCACCAGUGAAUCAAACGAUUCCUCUGGAUGUUUGACAUCAUUUGGACUCUGCACUUCAGUGGCUGCACACUGAUGCACAACUUCACUAGAGGCCAGUUGAACGUCAGUGAAGCUCUUUACCAUCACCUUCCUCUUCCUCCUCGCACUCAACCAUGUGUUCACUAGGCUCUGGCUCGUCCUCUGGCUCCUCCCACUCCUCUAAUUUUUCCUCUUUCGUCUCUGGUUCCUCCUCUUCCUCCUCCAUAUCCUGCAGCUGUGACUGUACUCAUGAGUGUCGUGAUGCGAUUGAUGUGUUCCUGCUGCAUCUGCGGUUGGUGCCAUUAUUCAGCAUGGAUUCGGGUGUGGAAGAUCUGAGGCCCAUGAAGCUGCGAGCUAAUGGACUGCUAGCCAAAACAGGUUUCUCCACCUCUUCUUCUUCAUGCCCCUCUUCCUCACCAUCAUAGAUGACUUGCAGUUUUUUUUUUUGGUGGGGCAGAGCAAGGACUCGUCUGCUGCAGUGAAAUAUACUGAUUUCUGCCUACCACUAUCAUUGUUGGGUGUGGGGUCAGAUUCAUCUAUAGCUCCAGUGGCAGAGGUUUAGAUGCAUCAGCAUCAAACUCGAUGCAGGCUUUUGAAUCAAAGUCCACCUCUGAUAAUGCUUUUGGUAUGUUUGACUCAAUUCCCAACAGAACUACAGAUGAAUCUGAUUGCUUGAAAGGAGAAAUGUGCAAGGUCUGAUUUGAGUGAGUGUGUAUGAUCGGAUUUCUCCUCUAUGAUUAAACGCUCCUCAUCAUUUAUGCUCUUAAACACUUGUCCAAAAUAACUGUCCUGUCACCUGUGUAGAUAAAUCCAUCACAUGCUCAUCCUUCAUCUCCAUCCCUCCAUCCAUGCUCAUCAUCUCCAGCUCGUCUGAUCCUGAUUGGGUGAGAUCCACCACGGCAGGUGGGCUGAGGUUAUGGCAGGGUGGCGUGGUUUUGACAUCAUCCAUCGUCGUGUGUUGGUCUGGGCCCUGUUGCCUUGACAGCGGGAGCCAACUGGGUCCUGAGUUCUGAUUAACGCUGUCCAUCAUGAGGCUGUGCAGCUGUGACUCGGCCUGGACCAGGUCCUGCGCUUUCUGCACACGCUGGUCACUGUAAAUACAACACAUACAAAUACAACAGCACGGCACACUCUUCAAAAAAGAAAUUGCAAGCAUUCUAGCAAAAACUUUCAAAAACAAUUCCUCUAUUGAGAACUGCCCUCCUGCUUUCUGGACUUUUCUUACUCAGCAAGAGAAAGAAAAGAGAAACUUCAGCUCCGGUACAACCGACCUUUUACUACGCAUAGAACAUCUCUAUUUGAGGAAGAGUAAGAAAACAUAUAGUUAAAAGUAAAAAUACUAAAGUGUACCGUACCCCUAAAGCUGAUUGUUUGGUGGGGAGGUGUGUCUGAUUGCUUAUUCGGAAACAAUCUGAGACGCUGUGACAUUUAUUUCUUCUGGUUUAGUCAAAUUCAGAUUAAUGUUGUUUACAACACAGACAGCAGAAAAUCCAGGUGGAGGAGUUUCAGUUUCUGACACUGUGGUCUCAAUAUCUUUAGAACGAGGAACUGAACUCUCCAUACCUCCUGAACCACACCCUGAUCACAAGCACUUGGUACUAAUGGGCUAGGGGUUAGGCUUUUGGAGUUAAGGGGUUAGGGGUAGAGAAUAUGAGUUAGGCAGUAGGAAAUUACCUCUGUUACAGUGUUGGUGGACUUGAAAUGUGGAGUUUGUGGAAUAUCAGUAAGACUGUAAUUCCCAGAAUGCACUGCAUGAGAUGAGAGUGAGGAGGGUACAGGAUUCUCUGCAGUGCCAGUGUACACCUCAGAGCUCUGGACUCGAAACUUUACAUUCUGAAACCCUGUAAGACAGAAUUGUGUCCAUAGCACAUUAUCAGUCUUACCCUGUGUGUGUGUGUGUGUCUGUCUGUCUGUCUGUGUAGUCACUUCUUCCAUAAGGCAUGUGUUGAGCCAUGGCUGAUGGAUCAUAGGACCUGCCCGAUGUACGUGUGUCAUCCUCAAAUCCCUCAGAGUAGAGCAGCACUGAGUACUUUCACACACACUGUGACUCAGUCUCCAGCAUACACCCCAACUCCGAGUCUCUCACACAGCGAUGCUGCCUUUUCUGGAUAUGAAUCUCUGCAUGCAACAGAGCAGCUGGGUCCUGCUGACCACACACAUGAAGAAACCUCUUCACGGCUAAAGCUGCAGAGAUGGAGGUUGAGGGGACCAUGAAGAGGUAGCUCCAGCUGGUGUCAGAUCGAGAGUGCGGGUGCAAGAGAAGACUUUUGAAAACUUUUGCAAAAAGAAGCCCUUUCCAGUAGAGGUUAUAUGAUGUUCCGAUCCAUCUUUUCACACUGAGGACAAUUGAAGGACUCGUACACGACUAUUCCAAAAGGUGCAAACAUUCACUGAUGCUCAAGAAGGUAACAGCAUCCAUUAAGAGCCUGGCUGUAAACGUUGUAAACAGGAUGAUCAUGUAAAUUUUUUUGUCUUCUGGGAUACUUCUUCUAUGCUGUAUUAACCAUCUUUCUGUAAUAAACCUUUUUCACCUCAGAGGACGAGUCUGCAAGUGUUGUCUA